rnacentral:lncRNA from 1 species
CUCCCUGUACCCUAAAAGUGUAUAAAACACCUGCAAAUCGCAGCCUCUGGGCCAGCACUUUAGGUCCUCGGCACCAAGCUAUAUUUUGCUCAAUAAAGUACCUCUUGUGUGUUGCAUUACCGUGUGUGUGUGUGUGUGUGUGUGUGUGUGUGUGUGUGUGUGUGUGUCCUCCAUGGAUUCUGAGCCAGAAUCGGUCAUUAUACCUUCAACCCAAAAGGCAGGAGUCCUAGAAACGGAACAGAAGAGCUGCCUUAACACUGCUGCUGCUGCUGCUGCUGCUCUUUGUGCUACAGCUGACCGCUCUGUGGCAUCACAUUCUGAGGGAGAGCCAAGAACACAAGGUACAAGUGGAGCCCAAGAGUGACCAGGCUACCCUAUAGGUUCCAGCCAUCUCUCUAUCUAGGCAGGCACUGAUGCCAGCACACAGUCAGCCAGCCAGCCAGUCAGCCAGCCAGCAGCGUCUAGUGUAUUCUCUACCUGCUUCACUCCUUUCACAGACCUAGCCAGGACAUGGUGAGGACCAAGGAGAAUAGUGAACGUGCCGGUAAAAGGGACAGCUGUCUCAUCCCUGCAAGGACAAGGUCCACCCUAUGUUGCCAGGAACGACACUUCCCCCCUUUUGAGAUCCUCGGUCGACACCACUCCAAAGGAGACACUUCCCUUACAAAGAACGCUCACAAGGUGUGUAAGCCAGAGGACGCCCAGCAAAGGCUUUUCCACCAAAGGCAUGUUGGUGAUCUGACUGGCAGGAAGAGCAGGCUGAACACACUUUAGGGGCUCUGGUAGUUAUACCAGGGGCCAGCCAGACUCUCUUAACAGAGUCCACGAUGCCCGGGGUACCAAAGUGGCCAUUAGGAUGAACAGAUUGGUAAAUUUGGUGAUGGAAACUUCUAGGGAGCAGGGGUUUUCCUUCAGAUGACACCCACACUCCAUGAAUUGGUUUUGCUUUGAAUUUUCCUUUCCAUUUCUCCACUUCCUUUUCAUUAUAGGAAAGUGAUCCAUUUAAGUCAUCAGUGGUUGUUCCUGUUCAAAGUAGUUCAGGCCCUCCUAUGGCUGCUAGCUUGGCAGCAGCAUCUGCUCAGUCAUGUCCCCUGGAGACAGGGUCAGUGCCACCUCUAUGGGCACAGCAGUGAACUAGAGCCAGGGCUUCAGGCAGCGGGAGAGCAGAAAGAACUUCCUUAAUCAUUUCUGCAUCCGCUAUGGAAGGAGAAUACUGAGAGCACAGGGUGGAAGGCAGGUGUGUGACUGCUCUAAGGCAAAGUGGGCCACUCACGGCCAAGGUCCACUCCUAUUUAUGCCUGAGACGUCAGGAUGUGUACGAGGCUUGGGGUCCAACUUGCACAGA